AACGAACGCUGGCGGCAUGCCUAACACAUGCAAGUCGAACGGGACCUUCGGGUCUUGUGGCGCAGGGGUGCGUACCGAGUGGGAACCUGCACUUAGGUUCGGAAUAACUCACCGUAAGGGGUGCUAAUAACGGUUAAUGUCAUCGGACCAAAGAUUUUUCGCUGUGGGAUGGGCCCGGGUUGGAUUAGCUGGUUGGUAGGGGACAAGCCUACCAAGGGGACGAUGCAUGGCUGGUCUGUGAGGAUGACAAGCAACACUGGGCCUGCGACACGGCCCAGUCUCCGAGGCGGGGGAGCAGAGGGGAAUAUUAUACAAUGAGCGAAAGCCUGAUCCAGCAAUGCCGCGUGUGAGAUGAAGGGCGUAGGGUUGUAAAGCUCUUUUACCCGGGAUGAUAAUGACAGUACCGGGAGAAGAAGCUCCGGCUAACUCCGUG
rnacentral:rRNA from 1 species